GGGGAUGAUCGGUUUCGACAUUGCCUGUGAAACUGCGAGAAGCGGGCCGAGGAUGCGGGGUUAUCUCGUUAACGCUCUCCGCAAAACAUAGGUGCCAAUGCUAAGCGCACCGACUUCGCUCUCGCUGCCUAAGCAAGAGUAGAAAGUCCGUCAGACCGGGUUUGUCCCUGCCCCGGAUCCUGGCGUCAUUGAGGGGACUUGCUGCGUCAUCGUGUAUCAGGGUGACGCGGGACUUUUACUGAUACUGGGCCCGUCGACCUAGGCGUCCGUGACAAAGGUCGGGGCCGAGCAGAACGCUUCCACGGACUACGCCCGUAGAAGGCGCAGAAUCUCAGCAGUGGACGGGGGUUCAAUUCCCCCCAUCUCCACCA
rnacentral:tmRNA from 2 species